rnacentral:snoRNA from 1 species
GGGGUGUCCUCAGAGGAGGGCCCCCUAAAAUGGUACUGUUGUUGUCAACACACCCAACCAUUGUCACAAUGGGCACACAAACUGUGCCUCCUGAGCAAUUGCCAUACACAU